rnacentral:lncRNA from 1 species
AUAAACGGACCUUUGAUGUUUAAUUCGACCAAACAAUAGCCACCAAAAAUGAAAACCUUGAACCAGACUAGAAAACUCACCGGAGCCGCGACAAAACUCCACACCGGACCUCGUCGACACCUCGGAUUUGCUCGAUUUCUUUUGGAGAUGUGACUGUGAGCUGCGUCUCUGGCAAGUUUGGGGUUGAAACGCCGGCGGCUGAAGCUGGUCUCAUUAGGUGAAGAAGGUCAAGGUCAUUUUCUGUUAAGUUUUAGAAGAAAAAGCUUCAUUUUCCAAAAAUGGGAAAACGGUUAUAUCAACUUUUUUAGGCUCUUUUUUCCUUUGUCUUUUGCUGAUCAGUAGCCUUUUUAGUCUUAGCUCUAGGUUUGUUUUU